AGCGAACGCUGGCGGCAGGCCUAACACAUGCAAGUCGAACGAAGUCUUCGGACUUAGUGGCGGACGGGUGAGUAACACGUGGGAACGUACCUUUUGGUUCGGAACAACUCAGGGAAACUUGAGCUAAUACCGGAUGAGCCCUUAGGGGGAAAGAUUUAUCGCCGAAAGAGCGGCCCGCGUUAGAUUAGCUAGUUGGUGAGGUAAAGGCUCACCAAGGCUACGAUCUAUAGCUGGUCUGAGAGGAUGAUCAGCCAGACUGGGACUGAGACACGGCCCAGACUCCUACGGGAGGCAGCAGUGGGGAAUCUUGCGCAAUGGGCGAAAGCCUGACGCAGCCAUGCCGCGUGAAUGAUGAAGGUCUUAGGAUUGUAAAAUUCUUUUACCAGGGACGAUAAUGACGGUACCUGGAGAAAAGGCCCCGGCUAACUUCGUGCCAGCAGCCGCUGUAAAAC
rnacentral:rRNA from 1 species